UAGGGCACGGUCUCAUCAUAGAGAUGAAACCAAGCGUGAGAUGGUUAAGAGGUUAAGGUGAAUUUUGGUUCAAGGUGAGAAUUCACAGGUUUUGGUCCACUGAGCCAUGAUUCCCAUGCUUACAUAUCUGUGGAACAGCAGCUGUGAGGUGAAACUCUGAGAAAUAUUCUCAGUGAAGUUGACAAUUUUAAAAGACCCCUCCUCCUUCCCCUCUUCUUCUGAUACAGAAUCUGUCACAUUCCUCACAGCUACCUGUCUUCCUUGGCUUGAAUACCUUGGGCAGGGUGCUUGCUUCUGCACAAUCAACUCAUCUCAGAUCCAAGGAUCACUUCUUGACAAAAGGAAGAACUUACAUGACGAAGGAAGAAGGAGGAAACGAAGAUGGUGUCCAUUUUCCCCGCCAGUGGAUGAAGUGGGUGGUGACCCUUUUGACCAAGCUAAGGAAUCAGAGGAGGAAUACAGUUUGUAGCUGUUGAGCUGGAGGCGGCCAGGGUAAGGAGGCCAGGCAGUACGGGACAAGUGGGGUUGAGGUUCAGGCAAGAAGUCUAGGGUGGGAAUCCAGGUCUGCAAGUCCCAGAGACUAUGUGAAGCUGCAGGAAGAGCCCAAGGAGCGUCUGGAGUGAGUGAAGAGAAACGGGAGUGGGUGAGACCCUGGAACUGCCAGUCUAUAAAGAGUGGGCAGACGGGGAAAGCUAAUACAGAGAUGGAGGAGGGAAGACUUAUCAGAAAAGCAGGUAAAAUAACUUCAAGAAUGGACAACUAAGAGAGUCAAGGGAGAAGAGCUACAGAAAGGAAAGGAUCAAUGAGAAAAGUGACCUGACCUCCUCAAUGGGUCACUGAAGAAUCUACAAGAAUUAACAACUCCUCCCCUACGCCCCUUUACCCAAUACAUCUACCCAUUAAUGCACCAACAUGGUCUGACUGCUGCUGCUUGUUUUCCUACCUAUCUGUGUCCCUCUACCCAGCUAUAAGCAACCUCACGCCCCCUCCCCAAGCAGGGCAGAGAUCAUGCCCUAUUUACCUUUAUGUUCUGAAAACUUAGCAUAAUUCCUGCUUCAUAGCAGGUGCCCAAUGAAUUCUUGUUGAAACUAAUCCCUUUUCUUGAGGAAAGAACUAAGGUCACUUUCUGAGAGUGAAGGGGUAAGAACAGGGUGAGAACUUGAGAAAAGGAGUUACGUUCAGAAAUAACCAUGCUGGGGAGUGGCAAGGUGGCUGGCUAAGGCUCCAUAUAAGGAGCGUUGGGUAAAAGUCUGCACCAGGGGAGACAGGGAUGUUUUAUCACAUUAGCUGAAGAACAGCAUUAGCAGCAAUGAGGUAAUGAAGCAUGCACACCCUAGGAAGAGAAAAAAAAAAAACCAAGAUGAGGCUCUUGAGAGAUCUGAUAGUUGCCAAGAAGUCUUCAAAGACUUCCUCUCACGCGCGGUCCCAAGGUCAGGACAGCCGCAGCCCCUCACCAUCCUCAGACGG
rnacentral:lncRNA from 1 species